GAUGAACGCUGGCGGCGUGCCUAAUACAUGCAAGUCGAGCGAACAGACGAGGAGCUUGCUCCUCUGACGUUAGCGGCGGACGGGUGAGUAACACGUGGAUAACCUACCUAUAAGACUGGGAUAACUUCGGGAAACCGGAGCUAAUACCGGAUAAUAUAUUGAACCGCAUGGUUCAAUAGUGAAAGACGGUUUUGCUGUCACUUAUAGAUGGAUCCGCGCCGCAUUAGCUAGUUGGUAAGGUAACGGCUUACCAAGGCAACGAUGCGUAGCCGACCUGAGAGGGUGAUCGGACAAACUGGAACUGAGACACGGUCCAGACUCCUACGGGAGGCAGCAGUAGGGAAUCUUCCGCAAUGGGCGAAAGCCUGACGGAGCAACGCCGCGUGAGUGAUGAAGGUCUUCGGAUCGUAAAACUCUGUUAUUAGGGAAGAACAAAUGUGUAAGUAACUAUGCACGUCUUGACGGUACCUAAUCAGAAAGCCACGGCUAACUACGUG
rnacentral:rRNA from 1 species